rnacentral:rRNA from 1 species
UACGUAGGGCGCAAGCGUUAUCCGGAAUUAUUGGGCGUAAAGAGCUCGUAGGCGGUUUGUCGCGUCUGCCGUGAAAGUCCGGGGCUCAACUCCGGAUCUGCGGUGGGUACGGGCAGACUAGAGUGAUGUAGGGGAGACUGGAAUUCCUGGUGUAGCGGUGGAAUGCGCAGAUAUCAGGAGGAACACCGAUGGCGAAGGCGGUUCUCUGGGCAUGUCCUGACGCUGAGGAGCGAAAGUGUGGGGAGCGAACAGG